UGUGUAGGCGGUUUUCUAAGUCUGGUGUGAAAUCUCCCGGCUCAACUGGGAGGGUGCGCCGAAAACUGGAAGGCUAGAGUGCGGGAUGGGAGAGUGGAAUUCCUGGUGUAGCGGUGAAAUGCGUAGAUAUCAGGAGGAACACCUGUGGUGUAGACGGCUCUCUGGACCGCAACUGACGCUGAGACACGAAAGCGUGGGUAGCAAACAGGAUUAGAUACCCUGGUAGUCCACGCCCUAAACGAUGCAUAUUUGGUGUGGGCCAUUCAUUUGGUCCGUGCCGGAGCUAACGCGUUAAAUAUGCCGCCUGGGGAGUACGGUCGCAAGGCUGAA
rnacentral:rRNA from 1 species